rnacentral:lncRNA from 1 species
GUGGCAAACGGUGGGGGGAACAAUCGAGACCGACCCAAAGCGGUUGCAGCAGAGAGGGAGGCAUCCAAUCCCGUCCACCAGCCCCCAAAGGCCGUCGUCCUGCCUGGAGAACCGAGCAGUGCUAGGAAACUGACUUUUCUCAAAAAUGAACUCUCCCUACCAAUCUGCACCAUGAAAUUAUUUCAGCAAAAAAUAAUGGUUGCCCAUCACCGCACACUGCGUGUGACUCAGCCAUCACUCACAGGCAAAGAAGGGUGUUCUCUCCUCUCCCUGUCAGUUACUAAUUCUCUGUAAAUGACCAUUUGACAUCCUGGCCGGGGAGGAUUCAGAUCAGAGAUGACUUCCCCACUGCCACAAAGUAUGGUUCUGGGAAGGACAACCAGCCCCAAGGCCACGAAGGUUCUGAAAAAGUUUCUUCUCAUUUGAAGUCCA